UACAGAGGGUGCGAGCGUUAAUCGGAAUUACUGGGCGUAAAGCGCACGUAGGCGGCUUGGCAUGUCGGGUGUGAAAUCCCCGGGCUCAACCUGGGAACUGCAUCCGAAACCGCCUUGCUCGAGUAUGGGAGAGGGAAGUGGAAUUUCCGGUGUAGCGGUGAAAUGCGUAGAUAUCGGAAGGAACAUCAGUGGCGAAGGCGACUUCCUGGACCAAUACUGACGAUCAGGUGCGAAAGCGUGGGGAGCAAACAGG
rnacentral:rRNA from 1 species